AGACUCGAGCCUCGAGCUGGAUCUAGCGCAACGCCAGAGUAGGAGCCCGCGUUGCUCCGUCUCUCGCACUCCGCAUGGCGGCCUCCGCCGGCGAGCCGUGCGCACUCCUCAUGCCGGCCUCCGCCCGCGACGCGAGCCAUGACGCGAAGCUGGAGCUCCGCCGCCGCCGCCACCGCCAUGUGCCGUUGGAGCUCGCUCGCCCACAAGGCGGCAAAUCUUGCUUGCACGCGUCUUGCUUGCCCACUCGCACACGGCGGAGCUCCCCCCCGCGCGGCGAUGGAGCAACACACACGCAGUGGAGCUCCGCCCGCGCGGCCGGCCGAGAUCCCACUCCGCACGACGGUCGCUGCCCGCUUGCCCGCACGGCACCUGAGAUCCUGCACGCCCGCGUGCCAGCCCAUGGAUUCGAGCCCUUCCGGCUUUCCCCAAGACGAAUCGGCCAAGCUCGGCGAUGGUUCUUGGCUCCAUGGAGCCACCGGCCGAACAGGUGGAGAGAGGAUGGAAAAGCGAUACAGAGAAAGAGACGCGAGAGAUGCAUCCAGAGAGAUGCGAGAGAGGGAUAGGGGCAUCAUCCUGCACAUGGAAGGAAAAAAAAGAAAGAAUAAAAAUUGAUGAGACUGAUGCAUGGGUCCCAUAUAUUAUAGGAGAGUAGGAGCUGAAAUUGAAGUGUUAUUGUUGGAGUUGAGAGUAAAAAUUAUAGCCCUCAAAAGUAGGAGGAGCCCCUACUCAAUAAAGUAUGGAUUGAAAAUAAGGGUUAUUGCUGGAGAUGCUGGGCUAGUUUGGGAUCCCGAUCUUUUCCACAAGCCGGAGGCCCACGUAAAAAUUUGAUCCAAGCUAAUUUCCCCCUUGUUUGGAACCCACGCUGAAGGGGUGGGCGAUCCGACCCUCACAUUUUCAGAGCGGAGGCUCUGCCCCACCUCUUGCUCUUGGGUCCGGGCGCGUCGUCCCCGUCCGCUUGUGAGCGCCGCGCCACCUCCACCCUCUCCGUCCAUCCCCCCUCGCUCCUCGUCCGUCAAAUCCCGAUGAAUGGAUCAGGCCCAAGAACGGAAAAUUAGCGAGAACAGCAAGCAAUUCGAGCACACCCCGAGGUCAACUUUAACUAGGAUAGAUAUCUCACGAUACAAAUGAAGAUCGAGAUCAGUUCUACCCUAGCUAAUAGUCUAGCUGUUCUCUUUCUUACUUGUCCUCCACGGGAUCUGUGAGUUUAUACUCGUUACAGAAAGAACUGGCAUCCUAGCUUAACGGAGCAGGUAACAGUUACGGAAAUGAGUAAAGCUUCCGCUAAAAGAGACGGUGACGCCGCCGUUUGGUCUUGACGUGUCACUCGUUGGUGCCUCGUCCAUCAGGGCGUUUCUUCAGGAAAGUCUUCAGGUUGUAAGGAGCCUGACAUCGUCCAAGCGUUGCUGUUCCAAGUCCUUGACCGUACGCCGCCCUGCGCCUCCCCGUCGGCGACGCCCCUUCGUCUCCUCAUCUCCCACAUCCCUCGAGGCUCAAGCACAUCCGCAGCUUCUCCUCCGCCGUAGACUCCGCCUCGGCGAUCCUUCCACUGCUUCAUGGCAGGACUGCAACAAACUGUACAGAAAUGAUAUUGUGAAAUAUUGCAGGGCACAACAAUUGGACUGGAGAUAUUGUGGAAUAUCUGUACUUGGAACAGACCUUACUUGGACUGAAGAUAUUGCCUAAUUUGGAUUUAUGUCGUAUUUUUUGGAUGUAAAGAUGGAGUUUAUUUUUGUGAAUGCUCAGUUUUGAAUCAUUGAAACAGGGAGGACUGUAAUUUGAAUAUCAGCUCAUAUUGUAUCUAUUUAUUUUAAGUUACAAGACAAGCAUACAAAUUGAAAA